rnacentral:tRNA from 1 species
GGAUGGGUUUGACCUCUCUCGGAG